rnacentral:tRNA from 1 species
GGGGGCAUAGCUCAGUUGGUAGAGCGACUGGUUCGCAAUCAGUAGGUCGGGGGUUCGAAUCCCCCUGCCUCCA